CAGAAAUCAUCCACAGGAAGUUUGGAAAGCUUUUCCUCAAGUGUCACAUGUCUCCCCUCAUCCUCAGACUGAAGUUUAAUGAUUUAUGAAGCUGCAGAGGGACACAUCCUCAUCGGUAGGUUGGACAUCAGCUUAAUGAGGUUUCUGACUGCCUUUUCUUAAUCCUUCAGAUGAUCCGCUGGACUCUCGUUGUUUUAAAGGCAUUUGUGUCACUGGAUGAAACAAAAGUUACACAACGAGGGGCAAAAUUCACAUGGGAAACCGACAUCAGUGUCAGCAUUAACUCAUUGUUUAGCUGAAAGUCUUCCUCGGCAGAAAGGGGAAACCAAUCCAUGACCACAACCAGGUGUGUACUGUAAAUAUGCUGUGCUGCUUGAUGGCACCUUCUUCCAAAUGUAAUUCAGAACAAAUUAACAUUUCUGUAAUUUUUCACUUUUUUUUCUCUUUUUUUUUUGCUGUUGCUUUGCUGUCUGUGAAAUCCAUCAGCCGCUCACAGUGACAUUAAUUUUCUGUUUAGUAAAUCCAAAUAUUUACAACCAAAUUCUGCUGAGUCUUUAAUAUGUAAAUUAAUUUAUUCUCAGAUGCUGUUCUCAGAUCUAGAUGCGUGCUUGACCAUCCAGGGGGAAAAGUUGAUUCUGUUUAUCUGGACCAAUAUUCCCUCUAAGCUGCACGCAUGCGCAAUCGCACACUGCUGGCAUGGUCUGCGCACAGAAAAUCUGCACUGCGGACACAAAAAAAAAUCCAACCUGAAUUGAAAUCAAAAUAAAUACACAACAAUUCAUUCUGUGCUUUUUUGCUGUGUGAGUCAGUAGUGACCGGUGACUGGCUGCUCCUGCCAGUGAUGCGAUUCACAUUUGUAUUUAUGCAGCUAAUCAACAAGCUGUGACAGCAUCCUUAUGUGCCGACACCGUUGUUUUAGCUAGCAAAGCGGUGUGGCCGAUGUGGAGUGAAGACAUGCUAAUGACAACGUGUGCAAACAUUGGAGAUGUGAGCAGGACAGACGGAAAAAUUAAGGUGAAGUUUAAGUUCUCAGUCAGAUUUGUACGGAAGAGGAUUAGGGCCACUGGAAAAAAAAGAAAAAGAAUUCUGACUUUAAUCUCAGAAUUCUGACUUUUUUCUCAGAAUUCUGAGAUUAAAGUCAGAAUUCUGACUUUUUUCAGAAGGACUGACAGACUGAAGAUCUGCUUUGUGGGCUGGACCUCUUCAGACACCAGAAUGAAAGCAGAACCUGCAAUAUGACUCACAACACCUCUCUGAGGUUUGACUGAGUCAAAAGAGUUUGUGAUCCAACUGCAUGUUGGAGGCCAAAGGUCAGCUGCUGGCUGUGAGAGGUAGGUCCUUGGGUCAGUCUGAAUGUGACAAACACACUGUCAGUUGCUGAGGAGUCGAGUCCUUUUUAAUAAUGCUUUGGCACACGAGUCCCAGAUCAGUUACAGAUGCUAGCCCUCGAGCAGAGAGGGUUGGUGUUCUGUGCUGUGGCUCGAAUGCAGGCUGAGAUCACAAGAAGACCUGCGAGCUGCUGAUGUUUCAUGUGUAUGACGAUGUGAAGAGAAGGAAGCUGAAUGCAGAGGUGGUGCUCUCCGCCUCUGCCGCCAGGCCAUGUUACACCACAGUUCAAGAGGGGGGCAAUGAACGUGUCACAGGUGCGACUCACCUGACUUGACUACACCUGAGUGUGUGGUCAAGUGAGUCUGAGGAGGAGGACCUGUGUCCGUCACAUGUCUGCUGGGACUCUGCAGACACACAAAUCUUGAUGCAGGUGUAAAAACCACUGAUGUUUGGAAAUGCUGAGCUGGAUUUGAUCCAAACCUUCUGCUGUAUUUAUUUUUGUUUCAUUCUCUAUUUUCUGUAACAGAAUGAAAUAAAUCAGGUUAAAUUGUUUUCAUUUGUCAGUGAUGACAGUCAUGCACCUGAGGGCAUCAUCAAACUGUUUUCAUCUGAACCAAAUAUUUGCAUAGAUGUAAGAUUAUCUACAGCUGUUUUCAGUACCACUGAUGUUAAUUUAGUGUCUUUCUCUCCAGCUGAUCUGAGUUAGCUUGAGUAACUACCACCAGCUGCUUUGGCCUGUUCUUUUCUGUAUCACAUGGUGGCGCAGUGAGUCACUGUAACUUUCAUUUAAUUAGAGUUUUUAUUUCCUGUAAACAAAUAUUAAAUGAUUUCUAACCAACUGCAUCAAUCUGUCUGUGAUUAGCCGUCCACACUGAGCUCUGACAGCUGUACAAAUAGCGUUGUUCCUGAAGUCACACCUUGGUAUUUUGGUAAAUCCAGAUUUAUUUAUCUCAGUCCUGCAAACGGGAAGCCGGAUUUUCAGGUCAUUAACUGAGGCAUGAAAAUGUGCGGCCUCUCCUACUUCCUGUCAAACAGCAAGUUUGUCUCCACAUAGGAUUCCAGGAGCUCGGGAAUCUGACGGCGUAUCUCUGCUUUGAAUCCUCGGCUUUGUGACGACAAUCACAAACCUUCAGAUUCUGUUUGCUGUCUUGACCCAAAAG
ensembl:lncRNA